rnacentral:tRNA from 1 species
UGUUAUGUGAAUGAGUUGGUUAAAGCGCAGUACUAACGAUACAGAAUCGUGGGUUCAAAUCCCACCAAAACAA